UGCAGUCGAGGGGUAUUGUAGCAAUACAUUAGACCGGCGCACGGGUGAGCAACGCGUAUGCAACCUGCCGUUAACCGGGGGAUAGCCCGUCGAAAGGCGGAUUAAUACCCCAUAAUAUUGGGAUUCUGCAUGGGAUUUCAAUUAAAGCUGAGGUGGUUAACGAUGGGCAUGCGUGACAUUAGCUAGUUGGUAGGGUAACGGCCUACCAAGGCUACGAUGUCUAGGGGUUCUGAGAGGAAGGUCCCCCACACUGGUACUGAGACACGGACCAGACUCCUACGGGAGGCAGCAGUGAGGAAUAUUGGUCAAUGGGCGAGAGCCUGAACCAGCCAUCCCGCGUGCAGGAAGACGGCCCUAUGGGUUGUAAACUGCUUUUGCGCAUGGAGAAUGUUACCGACGUGUCGGUAAGUGACGGUAAUGCGUGAAUAAGCAUCGGCUAACUCCGUGCCAGCAGCCGCGGUAAUACGGAGGAUGCAAGCGUUAUCCGGAUUUAUUGGGUUUAAAGGGUGCGUAGGCGGCCUUGUAAGUCAGUGGUGAAAACCUGCAGCUCAACUGUAGGCGUGCCAAUGAAACUGUGAGGCUUGAGUGACGUUGAGGCAGGCGGAAUGUGUAGUGUAGCGGUGAAAUGCUUAGAUAUUACACAGAACACCGAUUGCGUAGGCAGCUUGCUAAAGGUUAACUGACGCUGAUGCACGAAAGCGUGGGGAUCGAACAGGAUUAGAUACCCUGGUAGUCCACGCUGUAAACGAUGAUGACUCGCUGUUGGCGAUAUACAGUCAGCGGCUUAGCGAAAGCGAUAAGUCAUCCACCUGGGGAGUACGCUCGCAAAGAGUGAAACUCAAAGGAAUUGACGGGGGCCCGCACAAGCGGAGGAACAUGUGGUUUAAUUCGAUGAUACGCGAGGAACCUUACCUGGGCUUAAAAUGUGCAAUGCCGGCUUUGGAAACAGGGCUUUCCGCAAGGACGUUGUACAAGGUGCUGCAUGGUUGUCGUCAGCUCGUGCCGUGAGGUGUCGGGUUAAGUCCCAUAACGAGCGCAACCCCUACUGUCAGUUGCUAGCAGGUAAAGCUGAGGACUCUGGCGGGACUGCCACCGUAAGGUGCGAGGAAGGCGGGGAUGACGUCAAAUCAGCACGGCCCUUAUGUCCAGGGCUACACACGUGUUACAAUGGCCGAUACAAAGGGCAGCUACCUGGUGACAGGAUGCUAAUCUCGAAAGUCGGUCUCAGUUCGGAUCGGAGUCUGCAACCCGACUCCGUGAAGCUGGAUUCGCUAGUAAUCGCGCAUCAGCCAUGGCGCGGUGAAUACGUUCCCGGGCCUUGUACACACCGCCCGUCAAACCCAUGGGAGUUGGGGGUACCCUGAAGUAUGUGACCGCGAGGGAGCU
rnacentral:rRNA from 1 species